AUUGAACGCUGGCGGCACGCCUAACACAUGCAAGUCGAGCGGUAGCAGGACCUGUAGCAAUACAGGUUGCUGACGAGCGGCGGAAGGGUGAGGAAUACGUAGGAACUUGCACUUCAGUGGGGGAUAACCAAGGGAAACUUUGGCUAAUACCGCAUAAUCUCGGGAGAGUAAAGCUGCCGCGAGAGGGUGCUGAAGGAGAGGCCAGCGUCCGAUGAGCUAGUUGGUGAGGUAAGAGCUCAACAAGGCGAUGAUCGGUAACUGGUCUGAGAGGACGACCAGUCACACUGGGACUGAGACACGGCCCAGACUCCUACGGGAGGCAGCAGUGGGGAAUAUUGGACAAUGGGGGCAACCCUGAUCCAGCGAUGCCGCGUGAGUGAAGAAGGCCCUCGGGUCGUAAAGCUCUUUAGGUUGGUAAGAAGGUUAUUGGAGGAAAUGCUAGUAACUUUACGGUACUGACAGAAUAAGCACCGGCAAACUCUGUGCCAGCCGCCGCAGUAA
rnacentral:rRNA from 1 species